CAGGCCCAGACUCCACUCCCCAGCUGUGAAAGGACUGCUGGCCAGACCCCCAAGCUAGCCCGCCAGGCCUCCAUAGAGCUGCCCAGCAUGGCUGCGUCCAGUACCAAGAGUUGGUGGGAGACGGGUGAAGUACAGGCUCAGUCUGCGGCCAAGACUCCAUCCUGCAAGGAUAUUGUGGCUGGAGACAUGAGCAAGAAAAGCCUCUGGGAGCAGAAGGGAGGCUCCAAGACCUCAUCAACAAUUAAGGUCGACAGCCAAAAGCGGGAGGUAUCCAAAGCUGCAAGAGAAGAGAAAAUGGCCUGUGGUGGGGAGCAGCUUCCAAGCCACCAUGGAGGCCCCACUCAAGUCCCAGGCCUCAUGGGAGCUGACCCUGAUGCACGGGGACUGAGUCACCCCUGACAGAACAAUAAGGAGACCUCGUGGCAUUUCCCAUCUCCACAGAAACCACCAAAUCCAUGUCUGCCAUGAUCCUGCUCACUUCCUCACCCACCCUUCCCUGCAAUCCAUCCCUAAUGAGCGCUCUUUGAACCCAUCCAACUCUCUCCAUCUCUACAGCCCUCGCCCAGCCUCAGUUUCCUCAUUUGAAAGAUGGGAAUUCUAACACGUGUCUGAGAGGGCUUAGAUGAGAAUUAAGUUUGCAAAACUGAAAGCAGUGACUUUUGUUUGUGUUGCUCACGGAACCUACACACUGUUCCCUGCUUCUCAGGCUCUUCUCUGUCCCAGUUCUCUCCCUUUCUGCCACCCCUUGAGUUGUCAGGCUCCUCACUCCUGCUUCAGGCUGCACCCUUCUUCAGCUUCCUCCACUCCCUGGCUGUGGCAGGCAGCCUCUAGCAUGACCCUCAAUGAUCCCCAGCUCCUGCAGUCACCCUCUUGUGGAGUCCCCACCCCUUUAGUGUGGGAUGCACCUAACGACUCACUUCCAACUCACAAAAUAUGGCAAAAGACACAGGAAGUCACUUCUGAAAUUAGGUUGCAAAAGGACCUGUUAUCCCUCUUGCUCAUCUUCUCCUGAAAGACAGGUGGCAGAGCUGCCAUGCUGCGAAGCACCCUACGCGGCAAGGGGCCCAGGGAGUACUCCUGUCAACAGCCAGCAAGGAACUCAGACCCUCAGCCCAACAAGCCACAGCUGAAUCCUGCCAACAGUCACAUGAGUAGAUUUGGAAACAAAUCCUCUGCCACCUCUCGGAAAGUCAAGCCUUGAAAUGAAUGCAGCCCCAGCCAACAGUUUCAGCCUGGGAAUGGCCCUGUGCAGAGAUACUCAGCUAAAACUGUAGUUGGAUUCAUAAGUCAGAGAAACUAUGAAAUCAUAAAUGUACAUUGUUUUAAGUUGCUGAGUAUUGGGGUGGUCUCUUCCAUAGCAAUACGUAACUGAGACACAUAGCCUUCAUUUGUAUCUCCAUACAGAACACUCCCUGGUAUAUACAGCCGACCUCUGUAUCCAGGGACCUGUGUCUGUGGAUUGAACCAACCACAGAUCAAAAAUAUUCAAAAAGUAGGCUGGGCACAGUGGUUCACACCUAUAAUCCCAGAACUUUGGGAGGCCGAGGCAGGUGGAUCACCUGAGGUCAGGAGUUCAAGGCCAGCCUGGCCAACAUGGUGAAACCCCAUCUCUACUAAAAAUGCAAAAAAUUAGCAAGGUGUAGCGGCAUGUGCCUGUAAUCCCAGCUACUCAGGGGGCUGAGGCAGGAGAAUCCCCUGAACCCAGGAGGCGAAGCUUGCAGUAAGCCAAGAUCAUGCCACUGCACUCCAGCCUGGGCAACAGUGAAGCUCGGUCUCAAAAAAUAAAAAUAAAUUAAUU
rnacentral:lncRNA from 1 species